UACGGAGGGUGCAAACGUUGCUCGGAAUCAUUGGGCGUAAAGCGCACGUAGGCGGCCUGUUAAGUCGGGGGUGAAAGCCUGUGGCUCAACCACAGAAUGGCCUUCGAUACUGGGACGCUUGAGUAUGGUAGAGGUUGGUGGAACUGCGAGUGUAGAGGUGAAAUUCGUAGAUAUUCGGAAGAACACCAGUGGCGAAGGCGACUUACUGGACACAUAUUGACGCUGAGGUGCGAAAGCGUGGGGAGCAAACAGG
rnacentral:rRNA from 1 species